rnacentral:piRNA from 1 species
UGGAUCUUCAUGCCCUCUGAGAGGUGUCUUU